GCGAAUAUGGCAGAAUGGAUAUGCAACCUGCAACCAUAUGUACUGUACAAAAUGCGCAUCUUUGUGUGUGGUCGAUAUGGGUUCGAAUCCCAUUAUUCGCU